rnacentral:rRNA from 1 species
UACAGAGGGUGCGAGCGUUGUUCGGAAUUAUUGGGCGUAAAGGGCUCGUAGGCGGUCCGUCGCGUCGGGAGUGAAAACUCAGGGCUUAACCCUGAGCCUGCUUCCGAUACGGGCAGACUAGAGGUAUGCAGGGGAGAACGGAAUUCCUGGUGUAGCGGUGAAAUGCGCAGAUAUCAGGAGGAACACCGGUGGCGAAGGCGGUUCUCUGGGCAUUACCUGACGCUGAGGAGCGAAAGUGUGGGGAGCGAACAGG